AUUGAACGCUGGCGGCAUGCCUAACACAUGCAAGUCGAACGGAGGUAGGGGCAUCUCUACUUCAGUGGCGGACGGGUGAGGAAUGUGUCGGAAUCUACCCUAUGGUGGGGGAUAACACAGGGAAACUUGUGCUAAUACCGCAUAAUGUCGAGAGACCAAAGCAGGGGACCGCAAGGCCUUGCGCGAUAGGAUGAGCCGACGCCCGAUUAGCUCGUUGGUAGGGUAAUGGCCUACCAAGGCGACGAUCGGUAGCUGGUCUGAGAGGAUGAUCAGCCACACUGGGACUGAGACACGGCCCAGACUCCUACGGGAGGCAGCAGUGGGGAAUAUUGGACAAUGGGCGCAAGCCUGAUCCAGCAAUGCCGCGUGUGUGAAGAAGGCCUGCGGGUUGUAAAGCACUUUUGUUCGGGAAGAAAUCAUGCUGGUUAAUACCUGGUAUGGAUGACGGUACCGAAAGAAUAAGCACCGGCUAACUACGUGCCAGCAGCCG
rnacentral:rRNA from 1 species